AUUGAACGCUGGCGGCAGGCCUAACACAUACAAGUCGAGCGAGCGGCGGACGGGUGAGUAAUGUAUGGGGACUGCCUGAUAGAGGGGGAUAAAUACUGGAAACGGUGGCUAAUACCACAUACGGUCGGAUAACCCAUAUGGGAUUAGCUGGUAGGUAGGGUAAUGGCUUACCUAGGCGACGAUCCCUAGCUGGUCUGCGAGGAUGAUCAGCCACACUGGAACUGAGACACGGCCCAGACUCCUACGGAGGCAGCAGUGGGGAAUAUUGCACAAUGGGCGCAAGCCUGAUGCAGCCAUGCCGCGUGUAUGAAGAAGGCCCUAGGGUUGUAAAGUACUUUCAGUCGGGAGGCGUUACCGACAGAAGAAGCACCGGCUAACUCCGUGCCAGCAGCCGCGGUAAUAC
rnacentral:rRNA from 1 species